UACGGAGGGGGCUAGCGUUGUUCGGAAUUACUGGGCGUAAAGCGCACGUAGGCGGCUUUGUAAGUUAGAGGUGAAAGCCCGGGGCUCAACUCCGGAAUUGCCUUUAAGACUGCAUCGCUAGAAUUGUGGAGAGGUAAGUGGAAUUCCGAGUGUAGAGGUGAAAUUCGUAGAUAUUCGGAAGAACACCAGUGGCGAAGGCGACUUACUGGACACAUAUUGACGCUGAGAUGCGAAAGCUGGGGGAGCAAACCGG
rnacentral:rRNA from 1 species